rnacentral:rRNA from 1 species
UGGGGAAUUUUGGACAAUGGGCGCAAGCCUGAUCCAGCCAUGCCGCGUGCAGGAUGAAGGCCUUCGGGUUGUAAACUGCUUUUGUACGGAACGAAACGGCCUUUUCUAAUAAAGAGGGCUAAUGACGGUACCGUAAGAAUAAGCACCGGCUAACUACGUGCCAGCAGCCGCGGUAAUACGUAGGGUGCAAGCGUUAAUCGGAAUUACUGGGCGUAAAGCGUGCGCAGGCGGUAAUGUAAGACAGUUGUGAAAUCCCCGGGCUCAACCUGGGAACUGCAUCUGUGACUGCAUUGCUGGAGUACGGCAGAGGGGGAUGGAAUUCCGCGUGUAGCAGUGAAAUGCGUAGAUAUGCGGAGGAACACCGAUGGCGAAGGCAAUCCCCUGGGCCUGUACUGACGCUCAUGCACGAAAAGCGUGGGGAGCAAAACAGGAUUAGAUACCCUGGUAGUCCACGCCCCUAAAACGAUGUCAACUGGUUGUCGGGCCUUCAUUGGCUUGGUAACGUAGCUAACGCGUGAAGUUGACCGCCU